rnacentral:rRNA from 1 species
GGGGAGAGGAACUUGUUCCUCGAGUCGUUGAUUUCACACUGCCGAGAAAAGCCUCUAGCUAGAAUAACGGUGCCCGUACCGCAAACCGACACAGGUAGUCAAGAUGAGAAUUCUAAGGUGAGCGAGCGAACUCUCGUUAAGGAACUCGGCAAAAUGACCCCGUAACUUCGGGAGAAGGGGUGCUCUUUGAGGUUCACGCUUCGAAGAGCCGCAGUGAAUAGGCCCAAGCGACUGUUUAUCAAAAACACAGGUCUCUGCUAAACCGUAAGGUGACGUAUAGGGGCUGACGCCUGCCCGGUGCUGGAAGGUUAAGAGGAGUGGUUAGCGCAAGCGAAGCUACGAAUCGAAGCCCCAGUAAACGGCGGCCGUAACUAUAACGGUCCUAAGGUAGCGAAAUUCCUUGUCGGGUAAGUUCCGACCCGCACGAAAGGCGUAACGAUUUGGGCACUGUCUCAACGAGAGACUCGGUGAAAUCAUAGUACCGGUGAAGAUGCCGGUUACCCGCGACAGGACGGAAAGACCCCGUGGAGCUUUACUGUAGCCUGAUAUUGAAAUUCGGUACAGUUUGUACAGGAUAGGUAGGAGCCUUAGAAGCGUGAGCGCUAGCUUACGUGGAGGCAUUGGUGGGAUACUACCCUAAUUGUAUUGGAUUUCUAACCCGCAGCACUUAUCGUGCUGGGAGACAGUGUCAGGCGGGCAGUUUGACUGGGGCGGUCGCCUCCUAAAGAGUAACGGAGGCGCUCAAAGGUUCCCUCAGAAUGGUUGGAAAUCAUUCAUAGAGUGUAAAGGCAUAAGGGAGCUUGACUGCGAGACCUACAAGUCGAGCAGGGUCGAAAGACGGACUUAGUGAUCCGGUGGUUCCGCAUGGAAGGGCCAUCGCUCAACGGAUAAAAGCUACCCCGGGGAUAACAGGCUUAUCUCCCCCAAGAGUUCACAUCGACGGGGAGGUUUGGCACCUCGAUGUCGGCUCAUCGCAUCCUGGGGCUGUAGUCGGUCCCAAGGGUUGGGCUGUUCGCCCAUUAAAGCGGUACGCGAGCUGGGUUCAGAACGUCGUGAGACAGUUCGGUCCCUAUCCGUCGUGGGCGUAGGAAAUUUGAGAGGAGCUGUCCUUAGUACGAGAGGACCGGGAUGGACAUACCUCUGGUGUACCAGUUGUCGUGCCAACGGCAUAGCUGGGUAGCUAUGUAUGGACGGGAUAAGUGCUGAAAGCAUCUAAGCAUGAAGCCCCCCUCGAGAUGAGAUUUCCCAACUUCGGUUAUAAGAUCCCUCAAAGAUGAUGAGGUGAAUAGGUUCGAGGUGGAAGCGUAGCGAUACGUGGAGCUGACGAAUACUA